AUUGAACGCUGGCGGCAGGCCUAACACAUGCAAGUCGAGCGGAGCGGCGGACGGGUGGGUGAUGCCUAGGAAUCUGCCUGGUUGUGGGGGAUAACGUCAGGACAGGUGCGAUCAUAUCGCAUACGAUCACGUGAGUCUAGGUCGGAUUAGCUAGUUGGUGGGGUAAUGGCUUACCAAGGCGACGAUCCGUAGCUGGUCUGCGAGGAUGAUCAGUCACACUGGAACUGAGACACGGUCCAGACUCCUACGGGAGGCAGCAGUGGGGAAUAUUGGACAAUGGGCGAAAGCCUGAUGCAGCCAUGCCGCGUGUGUGAAGAAGGUCUUCGGAUUGUAAAGCACUUUAAGUUGGGAGGCGUUACCAACAGAAUAAGCACCGGCUAACUUCGUGCCAGCAGCCGCGGUAAUAC
rnacentral:rRNA from 1 species